rnacentral:rRNA from 1 species
UACAGAGGGUGCGAGCGUUAAUCGGAAUUACUGGGCGUAAAGCGUGCGUAGACGGUAGCGUAAGUCAGAUGUGAAAGCCCCGGGCUCAACCUGGGAAUUGCAUUUGAGACUGCUCUGCUCGGGUGCGGAAGAGGGAAGCGGAAUUUCCGGUGUAGCGGUGAAAUGCGUAGAGAUCCGGAGGAACACCAAAGGCGAAGGCAGUGUCCUGGGGAGUACCUGACGCUCAGGUGCGAAAGCCAGGGGAGCGAACGGG